UAUUGUUGGUAGUACUCGUUAUGUAUCUGUUGGAAAUACCAAUUUGUAAAUUUACAAAUUCUUGUAAGAACUGAGGUUUUCAAGUGUAAUACAAAUAUAAUUCAGCGUAGUAUUACAGUUAAACUAACAUAGUAACUACUGCUUUAAUAUUUUUGUCAUAAAACUUGAAUUAUAUUUACAUCAGAGCAUAUUUCGUUUGGUUGUGUUACUUGUAGAACCAGGACAUAACGUAUCAGAUGCCAUGUUCCUGAUUCUAUUCCAAGUUCCACCGUGUUGACUGUUUUUGUUUUGAAUAAACUACACAGAUUCUUAGUUGAAUUACAUUGGGACAGCACUUUAAAGCACAGACAACAUGCUGAAACACUUUGCCCUCUCAUAUCAAACACUGGUAACUGGUUCAGAAACAAAUCGUUUAGUUCGUGACAGGACUUGUUUAUUGGGGGCGCGUUGUCGAAAUCUCUAACCACUAAUAAUAAGCUACGAAUGUAAAUUUUAUUUUUAUUUUGAAUAGUCGGAAACAUUUCUAAAAUAUUGCAUUUGAAGAAUAUCCUAACGUGAAAACCAGAAGAAUGAGCAUGUAUUCAAGUAUCCAAAAUGAAAUGAAACAUUACUAAUGUUUCUAGAGAAAGAUCAAAAGCUUCCUUCAUCACCCUUCCGAAAGUUACAAAACCAUCUACACAUACAGCUAAACUCACAUCUUCCAUUAACCUUCUGAUUUCUGGUUUUCUUCUCGCUAAAGAUAUUUGAUUUUUGAGUCGAUUUCUCAUGCUCCACAUUUUUAGGGAAUAUUUGCAAAUGAGCGUUCUUGGCCUGAAUCGCUUGUUAUCUGGAUAAAAGAACUCAAUUCAUAUAUUUUGUUGGAAUCAUUAUGACGUCAUACAAAACCUAUGUCUUAGCAGUUAUAGGUGGAUAAAGACGCCGAAACGGCAAAAUUAUAACCGCAUAUAGAAGUAUAGGCUGAGGUAUGUUUCGUGAUUAUGACGUGAUUGUUUCGGCCAUCCACAUACAUAUGUCGGUUCUUUUAAUCACGCGCGUAUCAAGUCUUGCGAUCUGGUGGAUAUCGAUAUUUAA